AGAGCCGGUGAGAGUGCAGCCAGGAGGGCACUGCAGGGGUUAAAGGAGGCCAUGGCUGGCAGAGGGGGCCCACUGCUGGCUGACUCCUGGAAGGAGGCGGUGCACUGCUGGCCCGCCUCCUGGGCUGGUCUGGGAGGGAACCCCACUAGUAGAGCCCUCUGCUCAGUUGCUCCCAGUAGUGGCCCUGGGACCAGCUCUGCUCCUUGCGCCCUGCUCCCUGCCUGGACAUAGGCUCACUUGCUGCCUUCUUCUGGGAAACCAGUUUUUUGCCAGCCACAGCUGCUACUCCCACCAUCAGCCACCACUCCUGUCCUGGGAAUCCCUUGUCCCAGACACCCACCUGACUUAGUGGCUCCUCUGCAGGAAAGGGACUAUAGUAAGUGCUCAAUCAACGGUUGUGGAAAUAAAUAAUGGGAGACAUUUCUACUGUGAUUCACGGACCACAUGUCACCACCACGAUUCAUUGUUUAUUGCUUUUGGUCACACACUCAUACCACAGAUUACAGCAAUUUGGCCAAAUGUACUUCUGUGAACGAAAAUGGAAACAUUUACUUUUUCUCCAUAUAGGAUCCUUCCAGAAUUCAGAAGCUAUUUAGUUUUGCACUAUUGCCCAGGCUGGAGUGCAGGGGCACUAUCUCCACUCACUGCAACCUCUGCCUCCUGGGUUCAAGGGAUUCUUCUGCCUUAGCCUCCCAAGUAGCUGAGAUUACAGGCGCCCGCCACCACGCCUGGCUAAUUUUUUGUAUUUUCAGUAGAGAUGGGGUUUCACUAUGUUGGUCAGGCUGGUCUCAAACUCCUGACCUCAAGUGAUCCACCCGCCUUGGCCUCCCAAAGUGCUGGGGUUACAGGUGUGAGCCACUGCUCCCAGCCUCAGUUUAUUGUCUACCUGUAGACUGGACUGGAUCUUGAUUCCUUCUAGAUUCCUCCAAUCCAAUUUUCUCCCAUGGAAUUACAAAGAACAAGAACUGCUCUGUUCCUGAAGCCUUAUAAACUUGAGCUGGGCAACUUGGUGUAAAUUUCAAGGGAAAACCUUCAUGCCUGAUGUGUGUGCCACACAGAGUUUCACCAAAAUACCCGAUGCCAUAACCAGAGACAUUUAAACUGCAAACCAGAGUGAGAAGUUGAUGACUUCACGCUGUGGACAGCUUUCCCUAAAACACUGAAGAAGACUCCUCAUCGUGGUGAAUCUCUUACCUCUCUUAAUUUCCCCUUGCUUAUAUCUACCCCUUUCACUUGGUAGCAUUAUGCUGUAAUUAGGAUUUCACAGCCAGUAGCUUCUGUGGGUAACUUGAGGGAGUGUUGGUUCUGUCACAUCAAACCCAAAGUUUUACAUCA